CGAAGAAGGGAAAAUUGGUCUUCUGUGCACGUCAUGCUGUACCCGCAGUCCUGAACAUCCGCGAGGUGAAGUUGACCUACACGUAACCUUUCUGAAGGACAAUACGACCUGCAACGUUUGCAAAGAUAGUCUCAUUUUCAUUGCAAAACCGACGGAAGGCUGCUCCGAAUGUGAAGCCGUAAAAAUUGAAUUAAAAACAAUUAUUAAAACCGCAUACCACUUUCAAAUUAUUUAGUUUUUCUGUUCUGUUCAAAUAUU